rnacentral:rRNA from 1 species
UACGGGAGGCAGCAGUGGGGAAUAUUGCACAAUGGGCGCAAGCCUGAUGCAGCCAUGCCGCGUGUAUGAAAAAGGCCUUCGGGUUGUAAAGUACUUUCAGUCGUGAGGAAGGUGUUAAGGUUAAUAACCUUAGCAAUUGACGUUAGCGACAGAAGAAGCACCGGCUAACUCCGUGCCAGCAGCCGCGGUAAUACGGAGGGUGCGAGCGUUAAUCGGAAUUACUGGGCGUAAAGGGCACGCAGGCGGUUAAUUAAGUUGGAUGUGAAAUCCCCGGGCUUAACCUGGGAAUGGCAUUCAAGACUGGUUAGCUAGAGUCUUGUAGAGGGGGUAGAAUUCCAUGUGUAGCGGUGAAAUGCGUAGAGAUGUGGAGGAAUCCGGUGGCGAAGGCGGCCCCUGGACAAAGACUGACGCUCAUGUGCGAAAGCGUGGGGAGCGAAACAGGGAUUAGAUACC